rnacentral:lncRNA from 10 species
AUGGAGAGUGCGUGCUUUGGAUUCAAGACUGGGAAUGAGGGGACCAGAAACCUAUUCUGUGGCUGUUUCUUGUUAGGACUUUCCUAAGCCUCUGGAAAAGUGCAAAGUACAAUUAACAUUUGAGUCUGUCUGAGUCAUGAAGAAAUGGAGAUUACUGAAAAUAAUUCAUUUUGGUAUCUUCUUACAUCCUGAGAGACUAAUCUUUCCAAGUUCAUCUGAGGCUCCUCUUCUCCAUGACAACCUCAUCCAGGGAUUUCUUCCUGUCCUGGUGUUUUAUGACAUCAUCCUCAUCUCGCUUGUAAGGAUAAUAGCCUUCCUCCAAACCUCACACACUUUUGGAGGAGAUCACUUUUUUUAAAGUGCAUGGAAAUGUUUUGAAACAGUGAAAUCUAUAAUGAUAGGUUUCAUAAUUCUAACAUCCACACCAUAUGAAUCACAUCCUUCCUGAGAUAAUGAGCACACAAUUGCCUGGAUACCUGAAGGAAUGGAGACAGCGGCAGAAAACACUGCAGAGAGGUGGAAACAUCCGUUAAUAUUUUAAAAUCCCAUUACUGCUACCAACAAUAAUAAUGGAUGCAUAGAAAUAGAUCUGGAUUAGCUGAGCUUGAAACAGUCCAUCUCACACACACACAAAAGAAUUUCAGAUACAGUGAACCCACAUGUUGAAGCUUUCUAGUAUAAUAAAAAUUUCAACUGUUCUGUUGAAUCAUCUGCCUGAUUGGAGGCUACAGAAAAGAUGUCAUCUUAGGAGUGCUUGCUCUGAGUGAGGCUCAUCUUCAAAUCUGAAUGACCACAAGGAGAUUUGAUUAUACAUGUGAACACCUCAGAAGGCACAGCCCACCCAGAAGGCAGACAG